UGUAUUUCGAGUCGCUGGAACUAAAUAAUGAAGCUGCUUUUGUGCAAUAUUCAGCGACGUUACCAGCUGUGUGUUAGACGAAACGAAAAUGCUUUGGUUUUGCAUCGUGUUUUGAGACUGUCAGGGUGACAUGAUGGAUUAAUUGCUGUUUGACUGACAAUAAAUGAACAUGUUUGUGUUUGGAGAUUGCUGAGGUUAUUUUCACAAUUGGGAAAUCCCAACAUAAGUUGACUGCCAGUUUGACCACUGAUCUGCAUAAUAUCAGUGGGAGAGCAUGCUGAAUACCGCAGCUUCUGCACCAUAUGUUUCCUGGCCGAGUGGUUGAAAGUUGCGACCACACAUUCCAUGGGUGAUGAUAUCUACCAAAAUUCUUGGCGGCACAGUUCUACCCUCGUCAGUUGCACUUGUCCGAGUCUUUCUCUGCCUCUCAACCAACUCGAGAUAUUCCCCCCCCCCCAACUGCAUCCCGGCACAGCUUCACAUCAACCCAUCUAAUUAAUUUGUGGGAAAGGUUGACCACACAAAUUUCCUGUUUGGUUGUGGAGAUAGAAUCUUUUUUUUUUGGUGAAAGUUUGAUUUCAGACACUUAAAAAUUGAAAUUGUCAUGUAUUAUUAGGCAUGGCAGGCAUUAGCAAAGCAUCUCAAUCAAGUAUUAAUUAUUUUACUUUGUCAAUGUUAAUUCAUUGUGUAUGCUAUUCACCUGUUUGCCUUGCUUUUUAUAAGAAUGACACAAAAAAGGAAAGCAUUUGUAAAGUAUUAGUUAUUUUUUUUUUAUAUAAUCUUAGACGAGAUGUUUAGUGAAUAUUUGUCAUAAAUUCUUCUUUAACUUGAUCAAAUCUGUCAUAUUUUAUUUAAAACGUGUUAAGUAUAUUUGUGUUACUUUUUAAAUGUUUAUCAUUACUGUUUUAAAUUGUGUUCAUCUGCAGCCAAUGAAUGGUAGGCUAGCGGUGCACAUUUGUAUAGACGAGUUAACGCGUGACGUCACACGCACCUGCAAAGUUUAGACUCCGCCCACUGGUUGGCAAAAAGAGGUGGAAUUCUUAUAAGCGCAUAUAGAGAAGGUUGACAUUAUCAUCGUUUUUAUUGAUACUCAUGA